CUCCGGUUGAUCCUGCCGGAACCUGACUGCUAUCGGAUUGGUACUAAGCCAUGCGAGUCGUUGUAGCAAUACAAGGCGGACGGCUCAGUAACACGUAGUCAACCUAACCUAUGGACGUGGAUAACCUCGGGAAACUGAGAAUAAACCGCGAUAGAUCAUUAUGCCUGGAAUGGCUUAUGGUUCAAACAAUUUAUUGCCGUAGGAUGGGACUGCGGCCUAUCAGCUUGUUGGUGAGGUAAUGGCCCACCAAGGCUAUAACAGGUACGGGCUCUGAGAGGAGAAGCCCGGAGAUGGGUACUGAGACACGGACCCAGGCCCUAUGGGGCGCAGCAGGCGAGAAACCUUAGCAAUGUGCGAAAGCACGACUAGGUUAAUCCGAGUGAUUUCUGUUGAAGAAAUCUUUUGUCAGUCGUAAAACCACAGACGAAUAAGGGGUGGGCAAGUCUGGUGUCAGCCGCCGCGGUAAUACCAGCACCUCGAGUGGUCAGGAGGUUUAUUGGGCCUAAAGCAUCCGUAGCCGGCUACGCAAGUCUCCGGUUAAAUCCAGCUGCUCAACAGAUGGGCUGCCGGAGAUACUACAUAGCUAGGGAGCGGGAGAGGUAGACGGUAUUCUGUGGGUAGGGGUAAAAUCCACUGAUCCAUAGAGGACCACCAGCGGCGAAGGCGGUCUACCAGAACGCGUUCGACGGUGAGGGAUGAAAGCUGGGGGAGCAAACCGGAUUAGAUACCCGGGUAGUCCCAGCUGUAAACGAUGCAAACUCGGUGAUGCAUUGGCUUAUGGCCAAUGCAGUGCCGCAGGGAAGCCGUUAAGUUUGCCAACUGGGAAGUACGGACGCAAGUCUGAAACUUUAAGGGAAUUGGCGGGGGAGCA
rnacentral:rRNA from 1 species